rnacentral:rRNA from 1 species
GAUGAACGCUGGCGGCGUGCUUAACACAUGCAAGUCGAACGAAGCACUUUAUUCGAUUUUCUUCGGAGAUGAAGAUUUAGUGACUGAGUGGCGGACGGGUGAGUAACGCGUGGAUAACCUGCCUCACACUGGGGGAUAGCAGUUAGAAAUGACUGCUAAUACCGCAUAAGCGCACAGUACCGCAUGGUACGGUGUGAAAAACUCCGGUGGUGUGAGAUGGAUCCGCGUUUGAUUAGCCAGUUGGCGGGGUAACGGCCCACCAAAGCAACGAUCAAUAGCCGACCUGAGAGGGUGACCGGCCACAUUGGGACUGAGACACGGCCCAAACUCCUACAGGAGGCAGCAGUGGAGAAUAUUGCGCAAUGGGGGAAACCCUGACGCAGCGACGCCGCGUGAGCGAUGAAGUAUUUCGGUAUGUAAAGCUCUAUCAGCAGGGAAGAAUAAAUGACGGUACCUGACUAAGAAGCCCCGGCUAACUACGUGCCAGCCGCCGCGGUAAGAC